rnacentral:rRNA from 1 species
UACGGAGGGUGCAAGCGUUAUCCGGAUUUACUGGGUUUAAAGGGUGUGUAGGCGGACUAUUAAGUCAGGGGUGAAAUCCCGAGGCUCAACCUCGGAACUGCCUUUGAUACUAUUAGUCUUGAAUGUUGUUGAGGUGGGCGGAACGGGUCAUGUAGCGGUGAAAUGCAUAGAUAUGACCCGGAACACCGAUUGCGAAGGCAGCCCGCUAAGCAACUAUUGACGCUGAGCACGAAAGCGUGGGGAUCAAACAGG